UUCUUCGGAGAGUUUGAUCCUGGCUCAGGAUGAACGCUGGCGGCGUGCCUAAUACAUGCAAGUCGAGCGAACUGAUUAGAAGCUUGCUUCUAUGACGUUAGCGGCGGACGGGUGAGUAACACGUGGGCAACCUGCCUGUAAGACUGGGAUAACUUCGGGAAACCGAAGCUAAUACCGGAUAGGAUCUUCUCCUUCAUGGGAGAUGAUUGAAAGAUGGUUUCGGCUAUCACUUACAGAUGGGCCCGCGGUGCAUUAGCUAGUUGGUGAGGUAACGGCUCACCAAGGCA
rnacentral:rRNA from 1 species